GGAAGCGUAGCUCAGCCGGUUAGAGUACCUGCUUGACAUGCAGGGGGUCCCCGGUUCAAGUCCGGGCGUUUCCA
rnacentral:tRNA from 1 species